CAGCCGCCGCGGUAAUACGGAGGGUGCAAGCGUUAAUCGGAAUUACUGGGCGUAAAGCGCACGCAGGCGGUCUGACAAGUCAGAUGUGAAAUCCCCGGGCUUAACCUGGGAACUGCAUUUGAAACUGUCAGGCUGGAGUCUUGUAGAGGGGGGUGGAAUUCCAGGUGUAGCGGUGAAAUGCGUAGAGAUCUGGAGGAAUACCGGUGGCGAAGGCGGCCCCCUGGACAAAGACUGACGCUCAGGUGCGAAAGCGUGGGGAGCAAACAGGAUUAGAUACCCCUGUAGUCCAUGUCUCUUAUAC
rnacentral:rRNA from 1 species